UACAGAGGUCCCAAGCGUUGUUCGGAUUCACUGGGCGUAAAGGGCGCGUAGGCGGCACGGCAAGUCAGGAGUGAAAGCCCUGGGCUCAACCCGGGAACUGCUUUUGAAACUGCCGAGCUAGAGUGCGGAAGGGGCAACUGGAAUUCCCAGUGUAGCGGUGAAAUGCGUAGAUAUUGGGAAGAACACCUGAGGCGAAGGCGGGUUGCUGGGCCGACACUGACGCUGAGGCGCGAAAGCCAGGGGAGCAAACAGG
rnacentral:rRNA from 1 species